CAGUCGAGCGGAGUGAUGGUGCUUGCACUAUCACUUAGCGGCGGACGGGUGAGUAAUGCUUAAGAAUCUGCCUAUUAGUGGCAGACAACAUUUCGAAAGGAAUGCUAAUACCGCAUACGUCCUACGGGAGAAAGCAGGGGAUCUUCGGACCUUGCGCUAAUAGAUGAGCCUAAGUCGGAUUAGCUAGUUGGUGGGGUAAAGGCCUACCAAGGCGACGAUCUGUAGCGGGUCUGAGAGGAUGAUCCGCCACACUGGGACUGAGACACGGCCCAGACUCCUACGGGAGGCAGCAGUGGGGAAUAUUGGACAAUGGGCGCAAGCCUGAUCCAGCCAUGCCGCGUGUGUGAAGAAGGCCUUAUGGUUGUAAAGCACUUUAAGCGAGGAGGAGGCUACUGAAGUUAAUACCUUCAGAUAGUGGACGUUACUCGCAGAAUAAGCACCGGCUAACUCUGUGCCAGCAGCCGCGGUAAUACAGAGGGUGCAAGCGUUAAUCGGAUUUACUGGGCGUAAAGCGCGCGUAGGCGGCUAAUUAAGUCAAAUGUGAAAUCCCCGAGCUUAACUUGGGAAUUGCAUUCGAUACUGGUUAGCUAGAGUGUGGGAGAGGAUGGUAGAAUUCCAGGUGUAGCGGUGAAAUGCGUAGAGAUCUGGAGGAAUACCGAUG
rnacentral:rRNA from 2 species